GUGAGGAAUUUUCCGCAAUGGGCGAAAGCCUGACUGAGCAAUGCCGCGUUAAGGAUGAAGGCCUAUGGGUUGUAAACUUCUUUUCUUAGAGAAGAAUAUUGACGGUAUCUGAGGAAUAAGCAUCGGCUAACUCUGUGCCAGCAGCCGCGGUAAGACAGAGGAUGCAAGCGUUAUCCGGAAUGAUUGGGCGUAAAGCGUCUGUAGGUGGCUUCAAAAGUCUCCUGUCACAGAUCAGGGCUUAACCCUGGGCCGGCAUGAGAAACUCUGAGGCUAGAGUUUGGUAGGGGAAGAGGGAAUUCCCGGUGGAGCGGUGAAAUGCGUAGAGAUCGGGAGGAACACCAAAGGCGAAAGCACUCUGCUGGGCCAAAACUGACACUGAGAGGCGAAAGCGAGGGGAGCAAAAGGGAUUAGAAACCCUUGUAGUCC
rnacentral:rRNA from 1 species